AGACGUGCGCAGGCGGUUAUAUAAGACAGAUGUGAAAUCCCCGGGCCUCAACCUGGGAACUGCAUUUGUGACUGUAUAGCUGGAGUGCGGCAGAGGGGGAUGGAAUUCCGCGUGUAGCAGUGAAAUGCGUAGAUAUGCGGAGGAACACCGAUGGCGAAGGCAAUCCCCUGGGCCUGCACUGACGCUCAUGCACGAAAGCGUGGGGAGCAAACAGGAUUAGAUACCCGAGU
rnacentral:rRNA from 1 species